rnacentral:rRNA from 1 species
UACAGAGGUCCCAAGCGUUGUUCGGAUUCAUUGGGCGUAAAGGGUGUGUAGGUGGCGCCGUAAGUCGGGUGUGAAAUUUCGGAGCUUAACUCCGAACCUGCACUCGAUACUGCGGUGCUUGAGGACUGGAGAGGAGACUGGAAUUCAUGGUGUAGCAGUGAAAUGCGUAGAGAUCAUGAGGAAGACCAGUGGCGAAGGCGGGUCUCUGGACAGUUCCUGACACUGAGACACGAAGGCCAGGGGAGCAAACGGG